rnacentral:ncRNA from 1 species
UGAAGCUUUACUAUUUCCUGGGAAUAAAUAUGGAUUCUUCUUUACAUUUUUGGUGGACAGCAAAGAAGUUCCUUUAAUGUGGGGCUUGAGCCAUAACUGAGAUACAGCUCUAGCAGAGUUAGAAUUCCAACCUGUAUUAGGACCCAUGUUCCAAGGGGAUGAUCUUGGGUAAAUAAUUUCUAUGGGGCGUAAGACUCAAAAGGUAAUGGAGGCAUGCAAAGGUUUCUUUGGGCUGCGCAGAAAUUGACCCUUGAAUGUAAAGCAAGAGCUAGCUUGACUGAAGAACCCACCUGUCAAGCAGAAGCAAAAAUUGGCCUUAGUGGUUCAGCAGGAUUGAGCAGAAGUGUCAUUGCUCAAUGGUAGAAGGUACUC